GGCCCUAUCGUCUAGUGGCCUAGGACGCCGCCCUCUCACGGCGGAAACUGGGGUUCGACUCCCCAUAGGGCUACCA
rnacentral:tRNA from 2 species